GAAAACAGAAAAAAAACCUGAAAAAAUAUGAUGGCAUAUCUCUUCAUUAAAUUCUCCCAUGUCUUUCAAACGGCUUAAUUCUUCCAAUUGUUUCAGCCAACCUAGCAAAGGAGAAAAAAUUGCCUAGGCUUCUACCUCUCUGCAUUAGCGUCCUAUUUGAUUCUGCAAAUAAAUGAGGUGUGUUUGUGAGAACGAGAUGGAUCUACAGGGAACUCUGCUUAUCAAUUUCCUUUGAUCACUCUUAGAAAGAAGGGACAUGUUACUUCUGUAGUCAUGCAGACCUGCAAACCUGUCCUGCACGCUUAAGAGCCUUGUGAAUUCAAAGUUCGAGACAGAAAAAUGUAUGAAGAGUGAAACAAAAUAGCUGUUGAAUCACAACAUGAAGUAUUGCAACCUACAAUGUCUGAAAGACUUGCCAUCUCCCUUCC